rnacentral:rRNA from 1 species
AGUGAACGCUGGCGGUAGGCCUAACACAUGCAAGUCGAACGGCAGCACAGUAAGAGCUUGCUCUUACGGGUGGCGAGUGGCGGACGGGUGAGGAAUACAUCGGAAUCUACUUUUUCGUGGGGGAUAACGUAGGGACACUUACGCUAUACCGCAUACGACCUACGGGUGAAAGCAGGGGAUCUUCGGACCUUGCGCGAUUGAAUGAGCCGAUGUCGGAUUAGCUAGUUGGCGGGGUAAAGGCCCACCAAGGCGACGAUCCGUAGCUGGUCUGAGAGGAUGAUCAGCCACACUGGAACUGAGACACGGUCCAGACUCCUACGGGAGGCAGCAGUGGGGAAUAUUGGACAAUGGGCGCAAGCCUGAUCCAGCCAUACCGCGUGGGUGAAGAAGGCCUUCGGGUUGUAAAGCCCUUUUGUUGGGAAAGAAAAGCAGCAGGUUAAUACCCCGCUGUUCUGACGGUACCCAAAGAAUAAGCACCGGCUAACUUCGUG